rnacentral:rRNA from 1 species
GAGUUUGAUCGUGGCUCAGAUUGAACGCUGGCGGCAGGCCUAACACAUGCAAGUCGAGCGGUAGAGAGAAGCUUGCUUCUCUUGAGAGCGGCGGACGGGUGAGUAAUGCCUAGGAAUCUGCCUGGUAGUGGGGGAUAACGCUCGGAAACGGACGCUAAUACCGCAUACGUCCUACGGGAGAAAGCAGGGGACCUUCGGGCCUUGCGCUAUCAGAUGAGCCUAGGUCGGAUUAGCUAGUUGGUGAGGUAAUGGCUCACCAAGGCGACGAUCCGUAACUGGUCUGAGAGGAUGAUCAGUCACACUGGAACUGAGACACGGUCCAGACUCCUACGGGAGGCAGCAGUGGGGAAUAUUGGACAAUGGGCGAAAGCCUGAUCCAGCCAUGCCGCGUGUGUGAAGAAGGUCUUCGGAUUGUAAAGCACUUUAAGUUGGGUAGGAAGGGCAGUAAAUUAAUAACUUUGCUGUUUUGACAUUACCGACAGAAUAAGCACCGGCU